rnacentral:rRNA from 1 species
UACAGAGGGUGCAAGCGUUGUUCGGAAUUAUUGGGCGUAAAGGGCGCGUAGGCGGUGCGGUAAGUCUGUAGUGAAAUCUCUGGGCUCAACUCAGAGUCUGCUGCAGAAACUGCCGUGCUUGAGUGUGGGAGAGGUGAGUGGAAUUCCCGGUGUAGCGGUGAAAUGCGUAGAUAUCUGGAAGAACACCCCGUGGCUAAGGCGGCUCUCUAGUACGGUACUGACGCUGAGACGCGAAAGCGUGGGGAGCGAACAGG